UGCGGGUCAGUCGGCGCUGUACAUGGCUGCUCAGAAUGUACACCUGGAAGUGGUCCAACUCCUCCUUGAAACAGACGCUGACCCCCAACAAGCCAGCUGACAGCAUCUCUAUAUCCUGUCCUCUAUACUCAGGUAACACACACACAACAGAAGGACUUCGUCAACCUUAUUAGAAGUUUUACAACAAAUGUUAUUGGAUGGUCUGUGUAGCUGUAGAUGCUGGACACACAGAGAUGGUGGAGUUGCUGGUCCGGGAAGGGGCAGAGGUCAACGGAACAUACACAAGACACUAUGGCUCCAAGAGAUCCUGCCUUCAUCAGGCUGCUCUUAAGGGGCAUACCCAGACCAGAGCAGCCGAGCAGGAGCCUCUCCAGACCAGAGCAGCCUAGCAUGAGCCUCUCCAGACCAGAGCAGCCGAGCAGGAGCCUCUCCAGACCAGAGCAGCCGAGCAGGAGCCUCUCCAGACCAGAGCAGCCGAGCAGGAGCCUCUCCAGACCAGAGCAGCCGAGCAGGAGCCUCUCCAAACCAGAGCAGCCGAAUGGGAGCAUUCUCACUGGAGAGGAGUUAUGUGGACUGUUGUGUGAGGGCCUCAGUCAGUUAUUCUAUGCUUCCUACUGGCUCCCCCCACUACUGCAGGCAGGACUGGAGCCCUCCCUACUUCUGCAUCCAGCAUCUAACAUAGUGUGUGGCCUCUCUCAUCUCGGCAGGCUGCGGGUCAGGGAAGAGUUGGGUUCAGUGGUUCUGAUGCCGACCGAUGAG
rnacentral:lncRNA from 1 species